rnacentral:lncRNA from 1 species
ACUGAGCCUAGAUAUCUAACCUGCCUUCAUUUUAAGGAUGCAAUCUGGUGCACCUUUACAAGUGAAGUUACGGUUCAAAUCUCACUUUGGCAGACUAAAAUGAAGUAGUUCUUAUCCAAUUUAACCCCUGAUAUUUGAGGUACUUAUAAAAUCUAUUGAUCGUAAUUCAAGUAAGUUGGUUGAUUUAUUUGAUGAACUAAUGUAGAAGCAUACUUUAAGUCCUUAUGGAUUAGUCAGAGUAUUUAUUUUGUCUCUCUUAGUAAGUUGGUCGAUUUAUUUGAUGAACUAAUGUAGAAGCUUACUUUAAGUCCUUAUGGAUUAGUUAGAGUAUUUAUUUUGUCUCUCUUUAAUUUUCUUUUUGUUUCAGGUAGCUUAUUAGAAGGAAAUGGCAAACCACUGGAUAUAUUAGCUAAGCUAAAUUAGUUAGCUAGUUUUUAGCCUUAUGAAG